rnacentral:rRNA from 1 species
AUAAAAAACCAACGCCCUUCGGGGCUCCUUGGUGAAUCAUAAUAACUUAACGAAUCGCAUGGCCUUGCGCCGGCGAAUGGUUCAUUCAAAUUUCUGCCCUAUCAACUUUCGAUGGUAGGAUAGUGGCCUACCAUGGUGGCAACGGGUAACGGGGAAUUAGGGUUCGAUUCCGGGGAGGGAGCCUGAGAAACGGCUACCACAUCCAAGGAAGGCAGCAGGCGCGCAAAUUACCCAAUCCCGAUACGGGGAGGUAGUGACAAUAAAUACUGAUACAGGGCUCUUUUGGGUCUUGUAAUUGGAAUGAGUACAAUCUAAAUCCCUUAACGAGGAACAAUUGGAGGGCAAGUCUGGUGCCAGCAGCCGCGGUAAUUCCAGCUCCAAUAGCGUAUAUUAAAGUUGUUGCAGUUAAAAAGCUCGUAGUUGAACCUUGGGCCUGGCUGGCCGGUCCGCCUCACCGCGAGUACUGGUCCGGCUGGGCCUUUCCUUCUGGGGAACCCCAUGGCCUUCACUGGCCGUGGCGGGGAACCAGGACUUUUACAAUCCAUAUGACUAGUAGAUCCUCUAGAGU